CUCACUGAAAAUUUCUAUUUGCGUAUCAGUGAUAACUUACUUCUUAUGAACUCAUGGUUAGUGCUUGGAUUGACUUCACGUUAUCACUUACUUCCAUCGGACUGACUUUAUGAAGUCAAUCCAAUUGGGUAUCGAAGAGACUAAACCAACCUAACAAUUGAGUAUCGAAGAGAAAUUUGUAAAGUAUUGGGCACGUAGGAAGAAAAGUUUAUCUGAAAAAUUACAAGUCUUUAUGGUAGUCAUUAUUUACUACAGCGAAUGAACUUUAAAAAAGCACAAGUUGAUCCAGUAUGAUGAUGGAGUUGUUUACUAUCCCCGAAAGUUUAAGCUGUUAGGAUUAAGGUUAACAAUUUGUUUUAUACUCUCAAAGUCACUUCAUAGCAUGCGUUCAACUUAAUUGGGAGGUUUUGCAAUUGGAAGAAUUCCAACUCAGGAUCUUCUUUGCUGAUAGGAAAGAAAGUCUUGGAAUUUACUCCUAAAAUGGAUAAUAGGUCAGCUUUUAGGUGUUAUUUUCAAGAAUCAAACUAAGGUCUUUCAAAUUGAAGAUGUCUCUGUUUGACUUGAUCCACCCAAGGGGGCAAGAAAUAGGGAGGAAAAGAAACUAUAGAAAUGAGAGAAUUACUAAUGUGGGUUUUAAAAAUGCAACCUUCCUGUUAUUACUGUGAUGCUGUGAGAGUCAUGCAUCUCCUCAUCAACUUCUGAUGUUAAAGAAGUACUGGAUACCUUCCGCAUUGCUGCUGAGCUAGGGAGUGAUUCGCUUGGAGCAUAUGUGAUUUCUAUGGCUUCUCACGUAUAGCAUACGACUUUCAUUAUGGAUUCGUAUUCCGGCUCUCCAUUUACAAGGCUAAGGAACUUGAUUUUCCAACUGCAAAGUUUCUAUACAUGAAUUGUUUGUUAAAAUUGAUAAAAUACUACCAUCUACAUUGUAAUUGGCAGGCAAGUGACAUCCUUGCAGUGGAGCUUUUGCAAAAAGAUGCACGACUUGCCGUUAGUGGACAGAUAGGAAAGCCAUGUCCUGGUGGAACCUAAGCUGCGUGUGGUUCCUUUGUUUGAAACUGUAAAGGACUUGAGAGGAGCUGGCUCAAUGAUCAGGAAAUUAUUGUCCAUUGAUUGGUACAGGGAGCACAUCAUCAAGAACCAUAAUGGGCAUCAAGAGGGCGUUUUACUGCUGCCUGGGAACUUUACAAAGCUCAAGAGGAUGUUGUAGCUGCAUGCAAUGAGUAUGAUAUCAAAGUUACCCUGUUUCAUGGGAGAGGAGGAAGUAUUGGUCGUGGAGGGGGCCCUACAUAUCUUGC